AGCAUUUGCCGCGAGUUAUUGGCAAGUUCCCCUGCAGUUUGGGCUGUCUCUGUGGCUGGUUCUGCGGCGUGCGGCCAGCCAUGGAGCGCUCUGGGCCCAGCGAAGUGACAGGCUCAGACGCAUCGGGACCGGACCCGCAGCUUGCGGUCACCAUGGGCUUCACGGGGUUCGGUAAAAAAGCUCGCACAUUUGACUUGGAAGCAAUGUUUGAACAAACUCGAAGAACAGCUGUGGAAAGAAGUUGCAAAACACUGGUGUUCUUCCAGACUUGGCAAUUAGAUUACAUUUAGACUGUGGAAUUAAAAGUGAUUCCCUGUGAGCUCUCCUAGCAAAUUAUGAAAUUGAAGAGAGAGAGAACGGGUUGCGGGAACCCUAGUUUCCUACCGUGAGACAGUUUGACUUACUUUUCUUUAAAAGUUGAAAAUUCUCAUAUGGGCAUUAUUUAUCUCAUGCUUGGUAUUGGAGUCUUUCCCUGGGUAUUCAUAGUACACUUGAGGAAACUAAGACUUUGACCCUUUUAAUAGCAAGUUUGUCUGUAUGUGGGGGUAUGAGCUGUCUUGGUUGCUAAGUGCACUAGUGGAAAGGAUGAAUUACUAUAAAACCCCGAUAAAAUAUGUGCUGUGAAGGGUCUGGAAAUGA
ensembl:lncRNA GUSBP1 GUSB pseudogene 1